AAUGGCUUUUAAAAGCUAUUUUGAGUUUUGAUUUGGAUUUAAGAGUUUUUGCUAAAGUGCACUCCUAAUAGAAAUUCUGAAGCAAAUUGAAAAUAAUUAGCUAGCAGCUUGAGAACUAGAAUGUGAUCUUAUCUAAGGGAGACUGAGCGGAAGCAACUAGUGAAGAAAGGUGAUACUCAAUUUCUUCCAUAAAUGCAAAAAUUUUAAUUCAUGUUUUGGUGAAAGCUGUAUAGAAAAUGAAGAAAUGUCUAACCAAAAACAGAGUAAGAAAAAAGAAUUCCGUGGACUUUUUUAAAAGUGUAAUUAAAAGAUGAAAAUAGAUGUAAUUUAGAAUAUCUCAGCUUCCAUUUUCAGAUUAAAAUUAGUAUGUCUCAGGAAGAGGAGAGCUAGAAUUGCAGUGCAACUCUGAAAUGCAUUUUACUGUGCAUUUUACUGUGCCACUCCCAUCUGUGUGCUUACUCUGCUGUUUUUCUUGUCAUAUUAAUUUUCAUGCCAAGCAAUCUACUUAAGAAAAUAAGUCAUAGAAAGCAUUUAAUUAAUAAAAAACAGAGCAAAGAACAUUCAUUAAACCAUGAAAAUGUUCAUACAUAGUGAAGGAAGAAAAAUGCAUUUCAGCCACAAUUGAUGAUGUGGCAAAUUUUAUUCAGGUAACUGCUAAUCUUUAGGAAAUUUGAAGAAGUCAGGUACACAUAGGAGACUCUUAAAUGCUCUAAUGUAUGAAAUCCUGUACUUGAACUUUGCAAAAGGAAAAGGUACCAUUCACAGGGCAAAAAUCUGUAGAAACCAACCCCACUGUAGCAGACCAGCCAGCACUGGCACAUCCAGAAGAGCAUGUCCUAGAUAGAAGCUGCCGUUCUUCUGUCAGAUUAAUUUUCUUUUAUUCUUAAAGUCUGGUGCAUACCAAAGACACUUAUCAGUGGUUUAGAGAAUUACUUGUUUGUUUUAUUGACAACAUUAGAAAAUAGGAUUCUAGAAUAGUAAAGAGAAAAAUGUAGCAUUGCAUAUGGACAAAUGUGUAUGGUUUAUAUUAUUUGCAUUUUUUCCAGCUGUUAAUUGGGUUUGGUGCUCCAUCUAACUUUCUACAAGAUAGACAAGGUUGUAGGAAAAGAUACAUGAAGAGGUUGUUUAAAGAGUACCUACAGACAGACCUGGUGGUUCCUCUUGGCUGCAUAAUGACACAUCUUGUACUAUUAAGUAGUGCUUCUUUUGAGCUGGGUCCAAAAUCCAGUUGAAGUGAGCAUGUUAAUUAUGUUACAGUAAAGAGUAAUACUGGUUUUAGUAUAUUAGCAAACUGAAAUUGAGACUUAUGCCUUAGAAAAAAUGCUGAGUAGAAAGAGAUUUCUUCUAGAUGAUCAAUUCUCUUCAUCAAGGAACUACUAAACUGAAAGGCUGAACACCAUUUUUGUAGUUGCUGUGGCAAUAUGCUGCUGUUUCCAUCUGCAGCACAGCACAACAGACCAAUCUGGUUUCUAAAAGUAAGCUGUGUUAGGAGGUUAUAAAUAACGCAUUAGAAUUACUAUUAGAUUAAUCUUUCUGGAUUUAAAUCUCUUAAUCUAUGGAAUAUAUCCAUAUUUAUAAUGGUAUUAACCACUGUGUGGAUGUCUGUCUUUUGGAUUCCUUUUGUUCUGAAAGUAACCCAAUUCCCUUUAGUUUAAGUAUAAAUGUAGCAUUGACUAGUGCAGGGAAACUGUUUUAAUGCAAAUGUGCGAGCAGUACUGGAUUUUUGGGGUAUAUGCUGAAAAGUACAGUAUGUGACCCACCACAGUGGGUAACAGAAUGUUAUGAGGAUCUUCUGGGCUUAACUUGAGCCACUAUUAGUAAACUAUAAUCUUACUUUAUAAUGGAGAGAUGGAUUAGAAGGUAGUUGCUUAACCAGAGUGCAGAGAUGGCCUCUCAGUUGUUCUCUCCAUUUUCUCUAGAUCAAAUUUCUGUAAAACCUGUAAGUGGUAGUAGUAGUGUAACAUCUUACAGAAAUUUGUCUGUAGCAGCACAUUAUCUGUAUUCUCUGUUUCUCUUUAUCUAUACUACUAUUUCAUCAAUUUCAGCUACAAAGAUAGGUUUUUCUCUUGCUUUUAGCACAGAUUUUGUUCAGCAUUUUGAAUCUCAACAAAUCCAGUGACCUGGUUAGAUCAGAUUCAGAGUAUCAGUUUAUCUGUCUUAAAUGUCUCUACCUAAUAUUCUACCUAUGUUCUUGACAGCAGUUUGCCUUUUUGCCCUUUUGUACAUGGUACUGUAUCAAAAGACUUUGGACACUGGAGCUGCUUUUUUGAACUUGCAUGUGUUUCCUCAGCAUCUUAUCUUCAAUUUCUUAUUAGUACUUUAAAAUACAGGGAGUUUUUCCACUUGACUUCUGUUGUUUUUCAAAUAUGGGUGUGAAUGUUCUAUGGCAACAGACUUGCUUUUUUUUUGCAUGCAGCGUGGUUCUUGUCAUCUUUUAUUGUGGGGAGAGCUCAAUUUUUCAAGCAAUUCUUCAGGAAAAACAGACAGAAAGUGCGAUUUUGAGCACAGUGGAAGAAAAUAAUUCUUAUACCUCAAGGUGGUUACUCUAAAAAAGCUUGCCAGUAUUUUCCUAGCCAUAUACAUGAUGUAUGGAACAUGAACUGAAAAGGUACAUUUUAGUAACAUAGGUAUUGAAAACUCUGCAGCAAGACCCCUCAGCUAGUGAACUAUGGCCCAAACGUAGCUCAUGUCACCUUCUGCUCUCCUUUGUGUCUCAGAUAGUAGUCUGUAAGGGGUCCUUUAUGUGUGCAGAGGGAGGAAACCCGGCACAGACAGAGCUGCCUGGAAGGUGAUUGACAAACCAGGCAUCACAAUUCCUAAGAAAGUAAAUACAGGGGGUUUUUUGCAGUUGUCUCUUGUCAUGCUCCCACUAUGUUGGAUAGGGUUGCAGAUGGAGGUUGAAAGAACAAAAGGUAGUGGAGUUGGAGUGCAAAUGCACAUACCUUCCCUGCUCCUCCUGUUCUUUGUUUUGAAUCUGGAUUAGAGAGAAGAAAAGGGAAUGGGGGGAAACAGAUCAGACUCUCAGGAGACUAUGACACAAGUGCAAUCUAAGUGGAAAACAGAGACAGAGUGGUGACUGUCAACUCAUAUGUAUUUGAAUGUUGAAGUAAGAGAUCAGGACUUGUGAGUAUACCUGAAACACACAAGAUGGAGAGCACCUUUUAUUCAUUUGGCUCUGUGUUUUUACUUUUAAGAAAGAAGUAAGAUAAGACGUAUUAGUAGAAAACAAAGUGCUGCCAUUUCCAUCAUUUGCCAAAGAACUUCCUCCAUUUUUUAUCUCUGAUCUAAGGAGUUGUUCUAAGGACCCACCUCCCUAACUUAGUGUAGAGCAAUAAUGUUUAAAUUCUUUGUAUUUAUGAAAUUUUUUGUGGUUAGUGUCAAAUUUACUCAGAAAAACCCAGUGCUCUGUUUAAAUUUUUGUUUCACCAGAAAAUUGUGCUGAGUGCAAACUUUUUAUCAAUACCAAUAGCUCACCUUUCCUGAUUUAGAGCCUGUUAGUGCGAGAUGCACCUUUUAUGAGACAUUCUUCUAGAAGAUCACUAGAAGUUCAAGGUACCUGCUAGUUUAUGGGAUAGUCCUUUUGGAAAGCUUACAAAUGAAACUAGAUUUUUGGCGUAACAAAUAACAAAACAAAUAAAAGAAGGUAUGAAUUAUGUGUCCGUCUGUAGGGUUCCUAGUAGUGACUCUCUGAACAGCACCAGCCUGUCAUAAUUGUGGAUGGACGCAGUGCAUUUGUGAUUGAAUCAGAACUUUUCAGGGAUUAUGUUUUGCUUUUGCCAAAUGUGAACAUCAAGGAAAUGUAUAUGACUCACCAUGUCAGUGAUAUGCUAUUGCAACUUAGUUUUAUGAAUUAUGUUCUGGGCAAUUUGCAGUUCUUUGUUAAAAAUACUGACAUAGACAGAACCAUUUGGCAGUGCCAAAAUAUGCCAGUAUCUGAUUACCUUUUUAGUUUAAAUGAUAGUGUGAGUAGGCAACAUAGUUGGUGGUUUCAUGUGAGUGAAAAGGCAUCCACAUACAGUUCUGACCAGAACUGUCUACUUCUCUUGUCUCAUCUGACUACACAGUGCCCUGAUUCAGAGAGGAAAAAAGACUAAAACUAAAUACUUCUCUGUUGUUUUCUUGUGCCAUGUCAGGUCAUGCUGGGUUCACUAGUUUACUGUAGCCAGCAUAAGAGUGUAGUUGAAACUGUGUGAUUGCAGGUAAAAAAAUGUUAGCUGAUAGAUCAAAUGAUGUAUAACAUGAAAACAUGGCUUUAUACUUAUGAUUUUUGCUAACUAUUAGUUUGUUCCAUAGUCUAACAAUCCUGCUGGAAAAUGUUCUUGUGUUAGACUUUUGGUUGUUUGCAGUCAUACUGUUUCCUACCAGCAAAUCAUUUUCACUUGAUGGAUGUUUCUUAUGAUGGCUAUAAAAAUGUAAUUACUCUAGGUGGAAAUGUCUGAGACAUUAUCAAGAACUGAUUUGCUGCAGAUAGCAUUAAGUUGAGGGCUAGAGCAUAAUCACCAUGUAUUGAUACCCUGACUUCCUAGUGUGAAUAUAAAAACUGAUCCAGCUUUUAUCUCCAUAAAUUUUGAAGAUGGACUUUUGUAUCUGCUUUUGAGCUCUUGUAGCCUUACGUAUUUAAUGUAUGUAUGUUACAGGUUGUAAAUUUAAGAGUGGAAUUUUUUUUCCCCCUGCCCCCCCCACUGUAGGAAAGAAGGAGUUUGAAUGGAAAGGGGGAAGGGGUCAAUUAGCCUUACAAAGGGUCUAGCUGGCUGGACCGCAUUCCUAGCUGAUGCCCCAUCAGAAACUGGGGGGAGAAGGGAGGAGUUUUGGGAGGGGGUGGCUGGCUCCGCUUGGAGGGGAGAGGGGCAGACUGCUGAGUUCUCUCUCUUGAACGGAUACAGAGUUUGUGUGCGGGCAUUCUUUGAAGAAAAAAGCCUGGAAGCCGGGCUUUUCUGGCUUCUCGUCCUGGUGAAGCCAAUCACUGGUCUUGGCUGGCUUUGCACACUGCCUCGUGACUCCAGCCGGGACCUACUGUGUUUUCGUUGGAGAGCUCUGUGCCCACUGAGGGAGAGAGAAGAGGAGCCUUGAGACACCAUCAUCUGGGAACGACAACCCUCAUUAGGUGCUAUAAGGUCUCCUGGAACAUUGUCUUCUCUGGGUUGAACUCUCAGCCUGUCUUUAAAGGAGAGGUGCUCCAGCCUUAUGAUCAUCUUAAGUGACCCUUCUCUGGAAUUGCUCCAGCAGAUCCAUGUCCUUCUUAUGCUGGGGACCCCAAAGCUGAACACCAUACUCCAGGUUUGGAUGGGAAAUAGAAGAAGAUGAGAACACUUGUGGAUCAAGACAGUUUAAUAGGGAAAGUAAAAGCUCUGUGUGCAAGCAGAGCAAAAAGAGGACUUUAUUUGCUUUUCUCAUCAGCAGUUGUCCAACCACUUCCAGGGAAGCAGAACCUAAGCACAUGUUGCUUGCACAGAGAAAUAUCAUAAUCACAGAAAUCCACCCUUCCUUUGCACCUCCCUGAGGAUCUGUUGCUGAGUGCUGUGGUAUGGAUCACCUGUCUUGACUCUACCAGCUCCCAGCCUCAAGCCCUAGCCCCAGCUUAUGUGAAGGAGAAAAGGAAGCAUUUGAAGGAAGGAAGUACUGUUCAGCAAUAGCCAAAACACGGGUGUGUUAUCAGCACUGUUUUGGCUACAAAUACAAAGCAAAGCCAUAUAUCUAUGCCAUGUAUCUUCAUACUACGUAUGAAGAAAUUUUUUUAUUCCUGUCAUUGGUAGUAGUUUUAUAGCACACCUUCCUGAUUUUUCUCUGCAUUUUCUCCCCAGCAGCCUCUCCAGUUCCCAUCUGAGUCUGUUUCAUUGCCAUUUCAUACGCUAUGUAUCCACCAAGUGAUCCGUGGUUAAAUAACUAAAGUUGACAGUGAUGGACUUCCGAGUUAAGACUGCACUCAGGCUUAAGCAGGACACAGUUCGCAUCGCUGAGUUUUUCUUUUUGGUUGUCUCCAUCAGUAAAACUUUAUUAAUUUCAAAGGUUUAUCUGCAGAAUGGGGACUAAGACUUCUUUUUAGUAACAAAAUGCUGGGUGCUAGAAGAUUUGAAUUUGUCAUGUGCACUUUAAGAAUUUGUGCUGGUUGUACCCUUCACAAAGACUUUAUGUUACAUCUUGUCCUUGAGGGCUUUAGCUUGCAUCCUCUAAGAUCCGAAAUGAAGUCCUAGCCUCCCACUGAGUGUACUGUGUAAGUCGUAAAACAAAAAGUUUGUAGCCAAACAAGUUUCAUUCUUUUUCAGAUAGGCAGGUCUUUGAACAGUGUAAAAGUGAGCUUUGCUGCUCCAAACAUGCCCUGCUUUCGCCUGAAGAACUGACGUAAAUAAUACAUCUAAAAAUGCUCACUGUUUAUCGGCUACAAACUCACAUUAAGGAGGCAACCAACACAGCACAAUAAAAUUAAAUGGCAUGGAUUUCCUUUGUGUGCUUCACUGUAUUGAGUCUUUUGUCUUUGCAUGUUAUGUUUUCUCAUUAGAAAAGAAUUUUUCUGCUCUGCUAAACUAGGACAUAGGAUGCUGCCCACAUUAAGGAGAUCAAAAUUAGUAGCUAACUUUGGAAAGUUUCCAAGACCUCGCUUGAGAGUCCUGGGAUUAUGAGGGAUGCUCCUGUGUGAGAUCUAUUCUCUACUGAAGUCUAGUAGGAUUAUUUUUAUAGUUUUUCCAAUUUUUCCCUCACUAUUACACUUGAUGCUAAGUAGGAAAUAGCGUCUUUUCCUCCUGUCAGCAUAGAUAAUUAAAAAUGAAACCAUUUUUAACUAACAUGUUAAUAGUAGUGGAGAGUGUUAGAAAUCUGUUGAAUUUUUCAAAAAGAGGAUAUAUAUUCUGGUAUCAAACUUGAGUACAGUACUUUGCCACAAAAAUAAAUUGUAGCUCAUUUUACAUCAUUUAGAACAAUGAGUCUGAAAUAA